rnacentral:rRNA from 1 species
GGGGACCACCAGGGGUGGGGCCUGGGGGUUUAUUUGACUCAACCGGGGGGAAACUUACCCCGGCUGGGACCUGGGAGGAUUGGCAGAUUGAGAGCUCUUUCUUGAUUCAGUGGGUGGUGGUGCAUGGCCGUUCUUAGUGGGGGGAGCGAUUUGUCUGGUUAAUUCCGAUAACGAACGAGACUCUAGCCUAUUAAAUAGGCUCCCGGCUUUUAAACGCCGGGAGGACUUCUUAGAGGGACAGGUGGCGGUUCAGCCGCACGAAAGAGAGCAAUAACAGGUCUGUGAUGCCCUUUGUUGUCCGGGGCCGCACGCGCGCUACACUGAAGAGAUCAGCGUGCUUUAUGUUCCUGCUCCGACCGGAGUGGGGAACCCAGUGAACCUUCUUCGUGAUUGGGAUAGAAGAUUGUAAUUAUUCUUCUUGAACGAGGAGUUCCCAGUAAAUGCGAGUCAUAAGCUCGCGUUGAUUACGUCCCUGCCCUUUGUACACACCGCCCGUCGCUACUACCGAUUGAACGAUUU